rfam:Oryza sativa Japonica Group DNA, chromosome 6, cultivar: Nipponbare, complete sequence.
AAAAAAACAAAUCCUAAAUUUUCGUGGUCAAUAUUUAACUUUUCGUCUUAUUUAAAAAAAAUAUAAAAAAAUUAAAAAGACAAGUCACGCAUAAACUAUUAAUCUUGUUUUAUCAUCUAACAAUAAUAAAAAUAUUAAUUAUAAAAAAAUUUUAUAUAAGACGGACAGUUAAACGUUGAACACGAGAAUCAGGGUUUGUUUUUUU